GACGUAGGGUGCGAGCGUUGUCCGGAUUUAUUGGGCGUAAAGAGCUCGUAGGCGGCUCGUCGCGUCGCCUGAAACCCGCAGAACCUCAACUGACGGCGGUUGCGGUUGAUACGGGUGGGCUGGAGUUCGGUAGGGGAGACUGGAAUUCCUGGUGUAGCGGUGAAAUGCGCAGAUAUCAGGAGGAACACCCGUGGCGAAGGCGGUUCUCUGGGACGGUACUGACGCUGAGACGCGAAAGCGUGGGGAGCGAACAGG
rnacentral:rRNA from 1 species